AAUCUGCCUUGUGGUUCAGGACAACAUUGGGAAACCGAUGCUAAUACUGGAUAAGCCCUUACGGGGAAAGUUUUAAUGCCAUAAGAUGAGCCCGCAUUUGAUUAGUUAGUUGGUGAGGUAAUGGCUCACCAAGACAAUGAUCAAUAGCUGAUCUGAGAGGAUGAUCAGCCACACUGGGACUGAGACACGGCCCAGACUCCUACGGGAGGCAGCAGUGGGGAAUCUUGCACAAUGGAGGAAACUCUGAUGCAGCGAUGCCGCGUGAGUGAAGAAGGCCUUUGGGUUGUAAAACUCUUUUGUAGGGGAAGAUAAUGACUGUACCCUAAGAAUAAGGUCCGGCUAACUUCGUGCCAGCAGCCGCGGUAAUACGAAGGGACCUAGCGUAGUUCGGAAUUACUGGGCGUAAAGCGCGCGUAGGCCGUUGAGUUAGUUAAUUGCGAAAUCCCAAAGCUUAACUUUGGAACUGCAAUUAAAACUGCUCGACUAGAGUUUGAUAGAGGAAAGCGGAAUACAUAGUGUAGAGGUGAAAUUCGUAGAUAUUAUGUAGAACACCAGUUGCGAAGGCGGCUUUCUGGAUCAACACUGACGCUGAGGCGCGAAAGUAUGGGUAGCAAAGAGGAUUAGAUACCCUCGUAGUCCAUACCAUAAACGAUGAU
rnacentral:rRNA from 1 species